rnacentral:rRNA from 1 species
ACAGUGGACGCGAGCAUCUGUGGCCAAGUUUUUAAGGGCGCACGGUGGAUGCCUUGGCACCAGGAACCGAUGAAGGACGUGGGAGGCCACGAUAGGCCCCGGGGAGCUGUCAACCGAGCUUUGAUCCGGGGGUGUCCGAAUGGGGAAACCCGGCAGUCGUCAUGGGCUGUCACCCGCUGCUGAACACAUAGGCAGUGUGGAGGGAACGCGGGGAAGUGAAACAUCUCAGUACCCGCAGGAAGAGAAAACAACCGUGAUUCCGGGAGUAGUGGCGAGCGAAACCGGAUGAGGCCAAACCGUAUGUGUGUGAUACCCGGCAGGGGUUGCGCAUGCGGGGUUGUGGGAUCUCUUUUUCAUAGUCUGCCGGCUGUGAGACGAGUCAGAAACCGUUGAUGUAGGCGAAGGACAUGCGAAAGGUCCGGCGUAGAGGGUAAGACCCCCGUAGCUGAAACAUUGACGGCUCGUUUAAGAGACACCCAAGUAGCACGGGGCCCGAGAAAUCCCGUGUGAAUCUGGCGGGACCACCCGCUAAGCCUAAAUAUUCCCUGGUGACCGAUAGCGGAUAGUACCGUGAGGGAAUGGUGAAAAGUACCGCGGGAGCGGAGUGAAAUAGUACCUGAAACCGUGUGCCUACAAGCCGUGGGAGCGUCGCGCAUCGAGCUUGCUCGGUGCGUCGUGACUGCGUGCCUUUUGAAGAAUGAGCCUGCGAGUUUGCGGUAUGUUGCGAGGUUAACCCGUGUGGGGAAGCCGUAGCGAAAGCGAGUCCGAAUAGGGCGUUUGAGUAGCGUGCCCAAGACCCGAAGCGGAGUGAUCUAGCCAUGGGCAGGUUGAAGCGGAGGUAAGACUUCGUGGAGGACCGAACCCACCAGGGUUGAAAACCUGGGGGAUGACCUGUGGUUAGGGGUGAAAGGCCAAUCAAACUCCGUGAUAGCUGGUUCUCCCCGAAAUGCAUUUAGGUGCAGCGUCGUG